UGGGGAAUAUUGCACAAUGGAGGGAACUCUGAUGCAGCGACGCCGCGUGAGUGAUGAAGGAAUUCGUUUCGUAAAACUCUGUUCUAUGGGAAGAAAAGGACUGUACCAUAGGAGAAAGCUCCGGCUAAAUACGUGCCAGCAGCCGCGGUAAUACGUAUGGAGCGAGCGUUGUCCGGAAUUAUUGGGCGUAAAGGGUGCGCAGGCGGCUUUACAAGUUGGAUGUGAAAUAUUGUGGCUCAACCACAAACGUGCAUCCAAAACUGCAAAGCUUGAGUUAAGGAGAGGUAAGUGGAAUUCCUGGUGUAGCGGUGGAAUGCGUAGAUAUCAGGGGGAAUACCGGUGGCGAAGGCGACUUACUGGACUUAAACUGACGCUGAGGCACGAGAGCGUGGGGAGCAAACAGG
rnacentral:rRNA from 1 species